rnacentral:snRNA from 1 species
GCAAAAGUUGCAUUGAAUAAAAUUGGAACGAUACAGAGAAGAUUAGCAUGGCCCCUGCGGAAGGAUGUUUUUUUAUUGUCUAGUCUAUGUCAACUUUG